AAGAACCGGGCGAAUCGCCUCGACGGUCCU
rnacentral:sRNA from 1 species